ensembl:lncRNA
GCACCAUCACCUAUAGAUUGUAAAUACAAUAUAAAGAUGUUAUUAAUACCUAAUGCUUUGAAUUGGAGACACACGUUUGGACUCAAAUUCAUUAUUUUUAAUGAGCAAAAAUUUGUUGUCAGUUACAAAAUAAGUUCAUGUUAGACUGCCUGUCCACUGGGAAGGGAAUGACCUCUGUGAAUUCUGAGGCACAUUAACUCUAGUUGUAUACGCAGCAGGCGCCAAGUAUCGGAUAAUGUUGUGGUCAAAGAAAGGACUCGCUCACAAAGCUCUCCUGUACACAGUUAACCAAUUCCUGGAGCUUUAAAUAUAUUCCCUGUUUUUUCUAAAAAUGCAUUUUUGAGGAUUGUCUGAAUAAAAAAAGAAUAAAGAGGGAACCCAGUAGCAUUUCUGGAAAACAAGGGAAUUUAUUGAAAGUUCCUGAAAUGUUGCAAUCCUACACCUGCAUAUACCUCCAAAGUUUGAUCUGAACCUUUUCGUAGCAGUGCAGUAUUUUAUAACCAGAACAUUGUAUUUUUCUACAGUGUGUAGUGAACAAACGUCUCUGUUGCUUUAAAGUCGACCAUCAUUUAGACAGCAUUCUGUCUCCCGUGUGUGGUUGUGUUUCUCCCUUCACUUACGCCUGUAUAUUUUGAAGUCAUAGUGUCUGCCCGCACUGUAAACUAUAAUGUUAUACUUGAUUCUCUAUUACUCUUUAAGUGUUACUUUUCAGGACUGGAGUCUUGUGAUGUUAGGGUGAGUGGGUAUGUGGGUGGGUGUAGUUUGGAGGCGGUGUUCUAAACUGUACAUCAAGUUGUUUGCAGAUAUGUUUUGUCUGUGUUUUUCUCUUCACCAUUGGAAACACAGCACUUUUGAAGACCCUGCUUGGACUUUGGAGAAGAUCUCACAAAGUGGAUUUUACAGAAGCCAGGUGGAGAAUAGGUUGUUACUGAUGAAUUGAAAAUGUCUAUUAUUUUUUAUUGUUUUUUGUUUUUUUUUAGCCACCAAAGAUAAAAUCUUUGAUUCUCUGAUAUAAAACAUCAAGUUGUUAUUAGUGUAAAAACAUGAAAUAAAAUUUUAAUAAAUACAGCACAGCUUGCUUAUUUGAGCAGAAAAGCAGAACAGAUGAUUUCAAACCUUUUUAGGGGACACAAAGUGAAGUAUUUAGGAGUAUUACAUAUCUCACACCACUCUGAACAAGAGAAUGUUAACCACCUCAAUGUGGUUAUUAUUGUGAAUGCUUUGUUGAAUGUGAUGUUACCUGUUGAAUCACUGUCUUUUCUCUAUACAUAGUAACAAUAUUUUAUAUAAACUGUUAAGUGGACACCUCAGACUCUAGUAGGGAGUUCAUUUUGUGCACCCUUUUAAUUAUAUGCGCAUCCCCGUGUAAAUAUAUAAAAUAUGCUAUAGUUAUAUCAGAACUGUAUAGUUUUCUGUCAUCUGUUAUAUUUUACUUGUAUUAAACUGUUUCAAUAGCUG